UUUUUUCUUUUCGUUAUUUUUCUUACAAUCUAUUUUUUUCCCUUCUUUAAUUUUCUUCUUUAUUUUGUUUGCUCCCCCCUUCUUGAUUCUUUGCAGUCACUCUUGUUGUUUCUAGUAACUAACUUAGACAUAUUGGAUACUGACAAAACAGGAAACUUACUAACUAGUUUGUUAAUUACUUUAUUCAUGCAACAACCAGAGACAGUUUUCAGAGGUAGAGUUCAACGCAGGUGGUAUGAUUAUCUAGCCCAGAAGAAUAUGGCAUUGACCAUAUAUUAUGAUG
rnacentral:lncRNA from 1 species